GAUGAACGCUGGCGGCGUGCUUAACACAUGCAAGUCGAACGAUGAAGCCCAGCUUGCUGGGUGGAUUAGUGGCGAACGGGUGAGUAACACGUGAGUAACCUGCCCUUAACUCUGGGAUAAGCCUGGGAAACUGGGUCUAAUACCGGAUAGGAGCGUCCACCGCAUGUUGGGUGUUGGAAAGAUUUAUCGGUUUUGGAUGGACUCGCGGCCUAUCAGCUUGUUGGUGAGGUAAUGGCUCACCAAGGCGACGACGGGUAGCCGGCCUGAGAGGGUGACCGGCCACACUGGGACUGAGACACGGCCAAGACUCCUACGGGAGGCAGCAGUGGGGAAUAUUGCACAAGGGGCGCAAGCCUGAGGCAGCGACGCCGCGUGAGGGAGGACGGCCUUCGGGUUGUAAACCUCUUUCAGUAGGGAAGAAGCGAAAGGGACGGUACCUGCAGAAGAAGCACCGGCUAACUACGU
rnacentral:rRNA from 1 species